UCAAGAUUUUUUGAUAGCCCCAACACACGAACUUAGGGCGUUGUUUGAUUCGCUCCUUUUUGACACAGGAAUCAGAAUCGGAAUGAACGAAUUCGUUUGUGAGUGUUUAGUAUUCAGGAAUCCCAUUCCGAUUUCAAUUUCCAAGUGAAUGGGAAUCUUCUGAUCAUCCAUUUUUUCAAUUCUGCGUAGGAGGCCGGAUUGGAAAUUGAAUCCAGGUAGAAAAAAUAUACUUUACAAAAAUAUCUCAAUUAUAUUUUAUAUUUUUAUUUAAAAUUAAAUUUAAUUUUUUGACUUUCAUUUUUAAUUAAAGUACAAAUUUAAAAUUAGAAAUUAAAAUUUUA
rnacentral:lncRNA from 1 species